UACGGAGGAUCCGAGCGUUAUCCGGAUUUAUUGGGUUUAAAGGGUGCGCAGGCGGGAGAUUAAGUCGGUGGUGAAAUUUUGCAGCUUAACUGUAACAGUGCCAUUGAUACUGGUUUUCUUGAGUGUGGAUGAAGUAGGCGGAAUUUGUGGUGUAGCGGUGAAAUGCAUAGAUAUCACGAGGAACUCCGAUCGCGUAGGCAGCUUACUAAACCAUAACUGACGCUCAUGCACGAAGGCGUGGGGAUCAAACAGGAUUAGAUACCCG
rnacentral:rRNA from 1 species